rnacentral:tRNA from 1 species
UGGGGUAUCGCCAAGUGGUAAGGCACUGGGUUUUGAUCUCAGCAUUCCAAGGUUCGAAUCCUUGUACCCCAG